CGGAGCAUGUGGUUUAAUUCGAAGCAACGCGAAGAACCUUACCAGGGCUUGACAUGCCGCUGACCGGUGCAGAGAUGCAUCUUUAUCCUUCGGGGUACAGCGGACACAGGUGGUGCAUGGUUGUCGUCAGCUCGUGUCGUGAGAUGUUGGGUUAAGUCCCGCAACGAGCGCAACCCUUGUCUUUAGUUGCCAUCAUUAAGUUGGGCACUCUAAAGAGACUGCCGAUGACAAAUCGGAGGAAGGUGGGGAUGACGUCAAAUCAUCAUGCCCUUUAUGUCCUGGGCUACACACGUGCUACAAUGGUCGGUACAACGAGAAGCAAGUCAGCGAUGGCAAGCAAAUCUCUAAAAGCCGAUCCCAGUUCGGAUUGCAGGCUGCAACUCGCCUGCAUGAAGUCGGAGUUGCUAGUAAUCGCGGAUCAGAAUGCCGCGGUGAAUGCGUUCCCGGGCCUU
rnacentral:rRNA from 2 species